UGGACUUUAUGGUAUCUGCACAAAAACAGUUAUUCAUGCUGGUAUGUUCAAAAGACAGUGCCAUAGAAACUGAGUAUAUGGCAUCAUUGGUGUUCUUGCCUUUGUGCAUGUUAAACCUGGUAUUUCUAUUGAUACAUUG
ensembl:snoRNA